UACAGAGGGUGCGAGCGUUGUCCGGAAUCACUGGGCGUAAAGGGCGCGUAGGUGGCGUGCCAAGUCCAUGGUGAAAGCUCGAUGCUCAACAUCGAGUCGGCCACGGAUACUGGUUCGCUCGAGCACUGUAGAGGCUAAUGGAAUUCCGGGUGUAGCGGUGGAAUGCGUAGAGAUCCGGAAGAACACCGGUGGCGAAGGCGGUUAGCUGGGCAGUUGCUGACACUGAGGCGCGACAGCGUGGGGAGCAAACAGG
rnacentral:rRNA from 1 species